AGAGUUUGAUCCUGGCUCAGGACGAACGCUGGCGGCGUGCUUAACACAUGCAAGUCGAACGAUGAACUCCAGCUUGCUGGGGGGAUUAGUGGCGAACGGGUGAGUAACACGUGAGUAACCUGCCCUGGACUCUGGGAUAACCCCGAGAAAUCGGAGCUAAUACCGGAUAGGACCCUGGACCGCAUGGUUUGGGGUGGAAAGUUUUUCGGUCUGGGAUGGACUCGCGGCCUAUCAGCUUGUUGGUGAGGUAAUGGCUCACCAAGGCGUCGACGGGUAGCCGGCCUGAGAGGGUGACCGGCCACACUGGGACUGAGACACGGCCCAGACUCCUACGGGAGGCAGCAGUGGGGAAUAUUGCACAAUGGGCGCAAGCCUGAUGCAGCAACGCCGCGUGAGGGAUGACGGCCUUCGGGUUGUAAACCUCUUUUAGUAAGGAAGAAGGGGAGCUUGCUCCUUGACG
rnacentral:rRNA from 1 species